GGGGAUGUAGCCCGGUGGUGGAGCUCUUGCCUUGCAUGCACGAGGCCCUGGGUUCGAGCCCCAGCACCACAA
rnacentral:tRNA from 1 species